rnacentral:rRNA from 1 species
GAUGAACGCUAGCGGCAGGCCUAACACAUGCAAGUCGAACGAGAUUGAGGAGCUUGCUCCUCAUGAAAGUGGCGCACGGGUGCGUAACGCGUAUGCAAUCUACCUUAAUCAGGGGGAUAGCCCGGAGAAAUCCGGAUUAAUACCGCAUAACGUCAUUUUAUGGCAUCAUAGAAUAACCAAACAUUUAUGGGAUUAAGAUGAGCAUGCGUGACAUUAGUUAGUUGGUGAGGUAACGGCUCACCAAGACUACGAUGUCUAGGGGAUCUGAGAGGAUGACCCCCCACACUGGUACUGAGACACGGACCAGACUCCUACGGGAGGCAGCAGUAAGGAAUAUUGGUCAAUGGGCGCAAGCCUGAACCAGCCAUGCCGCGUGCAGGAAGACGGCCCUAUGGGUUGUAAACUGCUUUUAUUCGGGAAUAAACCUCUUUACGUGUAAGGAGCUGAAUGUACCGAAGGAAUAAGGAUCGGCUAACUCCGUGCC